rnacentral:rRNA from 1 species
UCGACGGUAGGCCCUUCGGGGUACUNGNNNNNCGAACGGGUGAGUAACACGUGGGUGAUCUGCCCUGCACUUUGGGAUAAGCCUGGGAAACUGGGUCUAAUACCGAAUAUGACCAUGCGCCUCCUGGUGUGUGGUGGAAAGCUUUUGCGGUGUGGGAUGGGCCCGCGGCCUAUCAGCUUGUUGGUGGGGUAAUGGCCUACCAAGGCGACGACGGGUAGCCGGCCUGAGAGGGUGACCGGCCACACUGGGACUGAGAUACGGCCCAGACUCCUACGGGAGGCAGCAGUGGGGAAUAUUGCACAAUGGGCGCAAGCCUGAUGCAGCGACGCCGCGUGAGGGAUGACGGCCUUCGGGUUGUAAACCUCUUUCAGCACAGACGAAGCGCAAGUGACGGUAUGUGCAGAAGAAGGACCGGCCAACUACGUGCCAGCAGCCGCGGUAAUACGUAGGGUCCGAGCGUUGUCCGGAAUUACUGGGCGUAAAGAGCUCGUAGGUGGUUUGUCGCGUUGUUCGUGAAAACUCACAGCUUAACUGUGGGCGUGCGGGCGAUACGGGCAGACUUGAGUACUGCAGGGGAGACUGGAAUUCCUGGUGUAGCGGUGGAAUGCGCAGAUAUCAGGAGGAACACCGGUGGCGAAGGCGGGUCUCUGGGCAGUAACUGACGCUGAGGAGCGAAAGCGUGGGGAGNNNNNAGGAUUAGAUACCCUGGUAGUCCACGCCGUAAACGGUGGGUACUAGGUNNNNNNUUCCUUCC